GCUGCAGAUGUUGGUGAGAGGGAUAACUACCCUUGGCAAACAGGACACAGUCGUGUGUCGAUAAGCCAGCUGGAGGAGAUGUCCUCCUGGGGCUAAAAGCAACAGUAACAUCCACCCCUAGGGGUCAGCCACACUUAAGUGGCAAUAUACUACACUUUAUAUAUAUAUAUAGAGAGAGAGAGAGAGUGCUAUAAGUUGAAUUCAUAGACAUCUCAACCCGGUUUCGUUUUGGCUAUUUUAGCGGAAAAUGAAAUACAGCACACAAUCAUUAACAAUUAAGUUUUAUGAAAACAUACAUCAAAAGACACAUACAAUUUGAAAUUCAAAACAACAGUAUUUAAAAUUUUUUAAAUAUCAUUAAUUUUUCUAUUAUAUUUUUGCUAAUGUUUUUAGCGAUAUAAUAAUUUUGACUCAAUAGUUUAGUUUAGUUGAUAUUUCUUUCUCUCUGCGAACAGCAAUUGCUGCCAUGUGUUGAAGAAAUCCGUCAGCAGCAGAGGGAAAUGUAGAAGACGCAAUGACUGUACAAACAACUUUCAUCUCCUUCUGCGUAUUUGUCUUUUGUUUUUUCAUAGUAUUACUAUUUAUUUUAUUAGGCUGGUAUUUGGUUUGGCGUUUCUUCUUACAACGAUUUGGUUUCAUUCGUGAGCUUUAUGCCAGUGAGAAUUCUAAUUCACAAGAUGUCCCCAAACGAAGACGUGACAAGUCUAGAAAAGAUUAAUUUACAAUCUAAUGGAUUUAUUUCUGGUUGCAAGCUGGCUCAAAACUAUUUCGCUACUAAAACUUCCCAAUUUAUCACUGAGUCGUCAGCAAUCAGCAGGUGGACAAAUGGCUGGUACUAUCAAAAUAUGCAAUUAACGUUGUCACUAUUCAAAUUCAAAUUACCAGUAUUUUUAUGCCAUUUUUUAAUUACUACUAAUAAACCGUCCCAGAUGUUUAAACAGAACCGAAAUAUCAAAUGCUUAAACCAAUAGUUUCUGUAUGAAAGAUGUAAUGUUGAUGUGUUUGUGUAACUGUUUUAUAUAGAAAAUUAUUUAUAUUUAAAAAAGAAAUCAUGCUUUGUUUUUAAUGUCUUUUUUUCUUUUUUAUUUAUUUUUUUUUUUCCUGCAACCUAGAAAAGAAACAAAAUGAAUUAAGAACAUGAUUGGGGAAAAUGUAUUUCUUUGAUCUCCAGAAAUUCAAUCCAAGAAAACUCACUUCAAUUUUUGAAAUAUGUAUAUUUAUAUAUCUACACGUUCCUUUAAAAAAAUAUAUAUAGCAUUUUUAUUUUAUUUUUAUUAUUAUUAUUAUUUUGUUCGCAAUUACAGGACUUGUUUUUAUAACAUAACAUUAUGGAAAGAUAUGAAACUUUCAUAUCAAUUCAAACAGUUUACGUAUUAAGCAUAAAGUUUUGUAUUAGUGUGCUCAUAUGAAACUUCUUUCCGCAAAACAUUACAUGACAUAGAUAUCGAGCAAUUUUGUUCACUUCCGUUGCUUUGAGAUUGGUUAAUCAAUAUUACUGAUGGAAAUAUUUUCCAAGCAAUUUAACAGUAACAAUGUUCUGUGCAGCCAGUUUCAUUUCUCUCAGCAAGUGAACAUAUACUUCAUCUGGGAUCUAACUUACAAACCUUUAUUGCUUACUGGAGCCCAGUGUUCUUAUCCGCCACAGAGCUUAAAACAUUGGCAUUAUGGAAAAUAGUGUUAUAACUCUACCGCAUGUAAUACAGGUUUCAUAAGUUCAAAUCCUAGCUUCAGAAGGCUGCACAUAUCCUAAUGACAAAUACAAACUAAAGUGCUUCAGAAGCAUUGAUUUACUAAAAUCCAGAAGAAAACAUGAAGGUCUGAAAAAAAAAUUUCCAUCAAUAUUGAUAUAUUUUAUUGGAGUAGUCCAUACAUACAAAUUUACAAUGGUGACAUACCUAUUUGAAUAUCUCUAAAUUAUUUUUUAAGAAAUCACUCCUAUUUUUUUCCCCCCACUAAACAGCGAAUAUUUCAGAUAUGAAUUGCUUGUCACAUUUCAUGCAUUGGAAUUGGGUCUGGCUUAUUGUUUGGAGUUUUGGGUCAUUACAACAUUCUUUGAGAGCCUUUUCAUCUAAAUGUAAAUUUUGAAAUCAAGUUCUGCCUUUUAAAAUCUUAUCAAAUAAUUGGCUGCAAUUUUUUUUUUUUUUUUUUUUUUUAACUGGAAAAAUAUAAUUAUUCAAGUGAUUUUAUGUAACUA